GACGAACGCUGGCGGCGUGCCUAACACAUGCAAGUCGAACGAAGCAGCAAUGCUUAGUGGCAGACGGGUGAGUAACGCGUAGAUAAUGUGCCCUCUUGCGGGGGAUACCGUUUCGAAAGGAACGUUAAUACCGCAUAAAGUCCUUAGAAGGCAUCUUUUAGGGACCAAACUUCCGGGGGCGGGAGGAGCAAUCUGCGUACUAUCAGCUAGUUGGUGAGGUAAUGGCUCACCAAGGCUACGACGGUUAACUGGUCUGAGAGGAUGAUCAGUCACACUGGAACUGAGACACGGUCCAGACUCCUACGGGAGGCAGCAGUGAGGAAUAUUGCACAAUGGGCGAAAGCCUGAUGCAGCGACGCCGCGUGGAGGAUGAAGGAUUUCGGUCUGUAAACUCCUGUCAGUAGGGAAGAGAAUGGACGGUACCUACUGAGGAAGCUUCGGCUAACUACGUGCCAGCAGCCGCGGUAAGCGUAGCGUG
rnacentral:rRNA from 1 species